AAAAUUUUAAUUUUGUGACUUGUCACAUUUUUAAAAUACUCAAUUAAGCUAUGUUUUUUUUGGUGCAACCCAUUUAUAGUCUCUGAAACCUAUAUUUUUUUCUUAGUGUUCAUUCUUAGUCAUCCUUAAUUAUAAGAUCCAUACUAACAUGUAUAGUAAGCUUUAUACUAAUAUACUUAACUAAUAGCUAAGUUUUAUAAGUUUUGUCAUUCAAAGCAUGUACAAUCUUAGCAUUUCCAUUACAGUAGAUAGUAAUUUUAAACAUUUUGUAAAAACCAUUGUUAAAAAUGGUCAGGAAAUUCAUCUGAGUUUUCAUAAAAGUCAUUGAAUUUUAUAUAAAUAGUUGGCUACGAACCCUGUUGGAGAAACAUUGUUUUAAUAUGAAUUUUUUUGUUUUACAGUGCAAUCUGUAUCUUUAACAUUAACGAGAAUUGUUUUGUGUCAGUGCCAGAAAUAUAAUACACACCUGCAAAUUUCGCAAUUCAUAAAAAUAUUAUAAAUCCAUUAGCAAAUAAAAUUGUAUCCUUGAAAGAUAUGCUGGUAUUAUUGGGACAAUGGGCAAGCAUUAAAGUGCAACUUGGUGAACUACAAAACACAUCAAAUUCAGUUAUAAAAAUUUGAGUAACAAAGGUAUGCUAAUUGUUGUAUUGCCUGAAAGAGUGUCAUUGCCAUUAAAAGCAGUAAAGAAUUCAAGUACUCUCGAAAAAAAAGACAAGAAAAUACUUAAGUAAAUGGUCAAUUAUUUGUCACAAAUUGGAGUUAAAGAUGAAAGAGAUUGUAUAUGUUAUUUACUAAGAAUAGUUUUUUAAAAUGGCCUAGCUUUAAAAUUAAACUAUGCCGGGAGAGGACAAAAAAUUAGAAUAGGAAAAAUGUUGAUUGCAUAUGUUGCUAUUGAAACUGUCAAGUCAAAUAAGCAUGGCUUAAGCAGACAUGUGAUAGAGAUAGCGGAAGAAGAAAUAAUAAUCGUGGACAUCAAAUAUCAUAAGCUAAACACGAUUCAAUAACAAGUAGCUUAGCCAAUAUCGAAACUACUCUAUAAAUUUUAUAGUGAAUUUUUUUUUUUUAAAAACUCAAU